GACGAACGCUGGCGGCGUGCUUAACACAUGCAAGUCGAACGGAAAGGCCCUGCUUUUGUGGGGUGCUCGAGUGGCGAACGGGUGAGUAACACGUGAGUAACCUGCCCUUGACUUUGGGAUAACUUCAGGAAACUGGGGCUAAUACCGGAUAGGAGCUCCUGCUGCAUGGUGGGGGUUGGAAAGUUUCGGCGGUUGGGGAUGGACUCGCGGCUUAUCAGCUUGUUGGUGGGGUAGUGGCUUACCAAGGCUUUGACGUGUAGCCGGCCUGAGAGGGUGACCGGCGACAUUGGGACUGAGAUACGGCCCAGACUCCUACGGGAGGCAGCAGUGGGGAGUAUUGCACAAUGGGCGGAAGCCUGAUGCAGCAACGCCGUGUGCGGGAUGACGGCCUUCGGGUUGUAAACCGCUUUCGCCUGUGACGAAGCGUGAGUGACGGUAAUGGGUAAAGAAGCACCGGCUAACUACGUG
rnacentral:rRNA from 1 species